GACGAACGCUGGCGGCGUGCUUAACACAUGCAAGUCGAACGGACAGGCCCUGCUUUUGUGGGGUGCUCGUGUGGCGAACGGGUGUGUAACACGUGAGUAACCUGCCCUUGACUUUGGGAUAACUCUAGGAAACUGGGGCUAAUACCGGAUAGGAGCUCCUGCUGCAUGUUGGGGGUUGGAAAGUUUCGGCGGUUGGGGAUGGACUCGCGGCUUAUCAGCUUGUUGGUGGGGUAGUGGCUUACCAAGGCUUUGACGGGUAGCCGGCCUGAGAGGUGGACCGGCGACAUGGGGACUGAGAGACGGCCCAGACUGCUACGGUAGGCAGCAGUGGGGAACAUGGCGCAAUGGGCGGAAGCGUGAGGCGGCAACGCCGGGUUCGGGAUGACGGCCUUCGGGGUGUAAACCGCUUUCGCCUGUGACGAAGCGGUAGUGACGGUAAUGGGUAAAGAAGCACCGGCUAACUACGUG
rnacentral:rRNA from 1 species